CAGCAGUGGGGGAAUAUUGCACAAGUGGGCGAAAGCCUGAUGCAGCCAUGCCGCGUGUGUGAAGAAGGCCUUCGGGUUGUAAAGCACUUUCAGUCGUGAGGAAGGUAGUGUAGUUAAUAGCUGCAUUAUUUGACGUUAGCGACAGAAGAAGCACCGGCUAACUCCGUGCCAGCAGCCGCGGUAAUACGGAGGGUGCGAGCGUUAAUCGGAAUUACUGGGCGUAAAGCGCAUGCAGGUGGUUUGUUAAGUCAGAUGUGAAAGCCCCGGGGCUCAACCUCGGAAUAGCAUUUGAAACUGGCAGACUAGAGUACUGUAGAGGGGGUAGAAUUUCAGGUGUAGCGGUGAAAUGCGUAGAGAUCUGAAGGAAUACCGGUGGCGAAGGCGGCCCCCUGGACAGAUACUGACACUCAGAUGCGAAAGCGUGGGGAGCAAACAGGAUUAGAUACCCUGGUAG
rnacentral:rRNA from 1 species